GAGGAGAGCAAGAGACUUCUCAGUCAGCAGGGAGAGCUGUCAGCAUGACGUUUGCUGCCUUGCUGUGGGCACUCGUGGUCUCGAUCUGUCUUGGAUCCAGCAUGACCCAGACGGUCACUCAGCCUCAACCAGAAGUGUCCGUGCAGGAGGCAGAGACUGUGGCCCUGGACUGCACAUAUGACACUAGUGAGAGAGAUUAUUAUUUAUUCUGGUACAAGCAGCUUCCCAGCGGGGAGCUGAUUUUCAUUAUCCGCCAAGAAUCCUAUAAGCAAGAAAAUGCAGCGGAUAAUCGCUUCUCUGUGAACUUCCAGAGAGAAACCAAAAGCAUCGGCCUCAGGAUCUCGGACUCCCAGCUGGAGGACGCUGCGAUGUAUUUCUGUGCUCUCAGUGGGGCACAGUGAGAGGAGGAACAGGGAGAGGUUUACAGAAACCUCAGACCUGGUGCCUGGGUCAGGGGGACAGGAAGUGGUUGGGGUAGCAGAAACAUAGAAAAGCAUUGUCUUCUCUUAGGAAUUAAAACUCCUUAUGACUGAAUAUAAGAAACACAGAGAGAUGGAUGUCAGCAAGCUGAACUCCUUAAAAUAAUAUCAAGAAGCCCAGCCAGUGUGGCUCAA